rnacentral:rRNA from 1 species
UACGGGGGGGCAAGCGUUGUUCGGAAUUACUGGGCGUAAAGGGCUCGUAGGCGGCCAACUAAGUCGGACGUGAAAUCCCCAGGCUCAACCUGGGAACUGCGUCCGAUACUGGAUGGCUUGAAUUCGGGAGAGGGAUGCAGAAUUCCAGGUGUAGCGGUGAAAUGCGUAGAUAUCUGGAGGAACACCGGUGGCGAAGGCGGCAUCCUGGACCGGUAUUGACGCUGAGGCGCGAAAGCUAGGGGAGCAAACGGG